rnacentral:rRNA from 1 species
GAUGAACGCUAGCGGUAGGCUUAACACAUGCAAGUCGAACGGUAACAGAAGAGCUUGCUCUUGCUGACGAGUGGCGAACGGGUGCGUAACGCGUAUGCAACUUGCCUCUAACUAAGGAAUAACUCAGAGAAAUUUGAGCUAAUACCUUAUAACAUCUGAUCAUCGCAUGGUGAUAAGAUUAAAGUUUUUCGGUUAGAGAUGGGCAUGCGUGAUAUUAGUUAGUUGGUGAGGUAACGGCUCACCAAGACGACGAUAUCUAGGGGGUCUGAGAGGAUGAUCCCCCACACUGGUACUGAGACACGGACCAGACUCCUACGGGAGGCAGCAGUGAGGAAUAUUGGUCAAUGGACGAGAGUCUGAACCAGCCAUACCGCGUGUAGGAUGAAUGCCCUACGGGUUGUAAACUACUUUUAUACGGGAAGAAACCUUCGGAUUCAUCCGGAGCUGACGGUACCGUAAGAAUAAGCAUCGGCUAACUCCG